AAUAUUGCACAAUGGAGGAAACUCUGAUGCAGCGACGCCGCGUGAAUGACGAAGGCCUUCGGGUCGUAAAAUUUUGUCCUUGGGGACGAUAAUGACGGUACCCAAGGAGGAAGCCCCGGCUAACUACGUGCCAGCAGCCGCGGUAAUACGUAGGGGGCGAGCGUUGUCCGGAAUUAUUGGGCGUAAAGGGUGCGUAGGCGGCCAAAUAAGUCAGAUGUGAAAGGCCACGGCUUAACUGUGGAAUUGCAUUUGAAACUGUUUGGCUUGAGUUUCGGAGAGGGUAGUGGAAUUCCCGGAGUAGCGGUGAAAUGCGUAGAUAUCGGGAGGAACACCAGUGGCGAAGGCGACUACCUGGACGAAUACUGACGCUGAUGCACGAAAGCUAGGGGAGCAAAC
rnacentral:rRNA from 1 species